UACGUAGGGCGCAAGCGUUGUCCGGAAUUAUUGGGCGUAAAGAGCGCGUAGGCGGUCUGUUGCGUCUGCUGUGAAAACUCGGGGCUUAACCCCGAGCCUGCAGUGGAUACGGGCAGACUAGAGGUAGGUAGGGGAGAAUGGAAUUCCCGGUGUAGCGGUGAAAUGCGCAGAUAUCGGGAGGAACACCGGUGGCGAAGGCGGAUCUCUGGGCCUGAUCUGACGCUGAGGCGCGAAAGCUAGGGGAGCGAACAGG
rnacentral:rRNA from 1 species